UCCCUCUCUAAAGCUUCUGGGUUCGGGACAGAGCCCAGAAAUAUAUUAAUUAAAGCGCACUACCACAGACUUGUUAGCACUGGGAAAGAAGUGGCUGGAUCAAGUCAAGCUCUGUCAGCGGAUGGAUGAAGAUUCACGGCAGGAAAAGAAAAAAAAAAAAGAUCAAUGCCGCAGCACUCUCUCAUUCACCCUGAACUAGUGGUGAACUCCCCCGGAACGCCGCCAGCCUCUCCAUCCUAUCCCAUCGCAGUCCGGGGUCACCAGGGGGGCGUCUCUGUGCCAAUAUGCAGAUGAGUCUGUGCCCCUCCAAUGACUCUGGAGUUAAGCUCCACCCUUCUAUAUGGUGGAGCCCCCACCCAACAGCACACUCGCACACAUUGAGGCAUAAACCCACUCUCACAUUGGCUUAAAUAGGCCUUUAACCGCUUACGUCCGCUCUUCCUUUAAUAGCCAAAGUGUGUCGAACCUAAUGGAUGUUGUCAAAGCUGAGAUGUGACGGCUGAUUUAGAGGAGGAACCCCAAUGACCAGGCUCUACAGGCCACUAACGAUAGAGAGAGGGAUAGAAAGAGAGAGUGGGGAAAGGGUGAGAGAAUUACCUCAGCUAUGCCAUAAAUCAUAGUAAUAUCUUUAAAAGAUGUUGGGAUCGAUGAGGUGUCAUCUGGCUGUAUCUUGUGUGUGAGUGAACCCAUAAGCAGCCAAUGAGUGCUACAGGACUUUGUCUUCCAUUUUACUCGCUUACUGGAGAAGUUUUCCUACCCAUAAGCAGUUUUUACUUGAUUUCAUGUAUUGUUAAAACAAGUUAUAACGGAAAAAGAGCAGGUUCCAUUUGAAUUAGUUUAACUUACAUGUUUAUCUUGCAUUACACUGAUCAAACUUUGAAAAUAAGAAAUACUGUGUAUUGAUGUGUGCUAUCUUGCAUUAACUGUGAAUCAAUUAAGUUCCAUGUGUUCAUUUUAACAAGAUCAUUGUAAUUGCAUAAAUUUAAUAAAGUUUAUUGAAAAUGCAA